rnacentral:pre_miRNA from 1 species
CUAUUAUUCCUCCGUCCAACAAAAGAUGUCUCAAGUUUGUCAAAAUAUAGAUACAUCCAAAUUUAGUCAAAGUUGAAACAUCCUUUGUUGGACGGAGGAAGUAUAUG